AUUGAACGCUGGCGGCAGGCUUAACACAUGCAAGUCGAGCGGAGCGAGGGUGCUUGCACCUUAGCUUAGCGGCGGACGGGUGAGUAAUGCUUAGGAAUCUGCCUAUUAGUGGGGGACAACAUUCCGAAAGGAAUGCUAAUACCGCAUACGCCCUACGGGGGAAAGCAGGGGAUCUUCGGACCUUGGGCUAAUAGAUGAGCCUAAGUCGGAUUUGCUAGUUGGUGGGGUAAAGGCCUACCAAGGCGACGAUCUGUAGCGGGUCUGCGAGGAUGAUCCGCCACACUGGGUAUGAGACACGGCCCAGACUCCUACGGGAGGCAGCAGUGGGGAAUAUUGGACAAUGGGCGGAAGCCUGAUCCAGCCAUGCCGCGUGUGUGAAGAAGGCCUUUUGGUUGUAAAGCACUUUAAGCGAGGAGGAGGCUACUUAGAUUAAUACUCUGGGAUAGUGGACGUUACUCGCAGAAUAAGCACCGGCUAACUCUGUGCCAGCCGCCGCGGUAAUAC
rnacentral:rRNA from 1 species